rnacentral:RNase_P_RNA from 1 species
GGGUAAUCGAGCAAUUUUUUAAAAAUUGUUAGGAAAGUCCAUACUAGCACAAGCUGUGAUGCUUGUAGUGUUUGUGCUUAAUGAAAAAAUAAAUUAAGGCAGCUUUAUGCUGACGGCAAGAAAGUAAUCUAAACUUAAUUUACGAGCAUGGUGAAAUCUUAAAGUGCCACAGUGACGAUACUUAAGGAAACUUAAGGUGGAACGGGUAAACCCCUCAAGCUAGCAACCCAAAUUUUGGUAGGGGCACGGCAAAUCGGGAAACGAACUGAAAUGCUGCACAUUUUGUGAGAUAAAUGAUUACCACCUUUUAAAGGUACAGAAUAUGGCUUAUA